AAUGUGUCGAAUUCCAGGUUAUGUUGUUCACUGACUGAGGGUAUUUUCAUUUCCUUGAUGUAGCCGCUAAUGCUCUUCAGUCUUCACUGCAUGGCACCGCGAACGAAUACUGAUCACUGAAACCUCCAGAAUCUUUGUCUUCACUACAAUCUUAAGCUACCAGAGAUCCAGCAAAAUUCGUGCCCUCAAAACCUCCAAGGUAAAAUUAGUUCUCUGAUUUCAUUACAAAGCUUCUCUUAAAUCUUAUUUGUGCUAAUUCUUAUCUCCCGAUCUGCCUCUUAACUUCUUGCCACUCUUGGCAACCUACACAUUCGUUUUGCUUUGCAAGGUCCUUGAUAAGAUUACCAUAUGUGAAUUGACAAGAUCCUAUCUGUAUUGGGCUCUCUGUUCGUCGAAUCGUAAAUGAGGCUCACAGUUUCAAUCCAAUGUUGUCUGACGGCCUGUAAUCCGUAUGGCAACGUCAGUUUGGAGCUGCUCUUCGACCAUCGUAUCUGCCCACUUUGCUUGGUUACAGUCACAAGAUCAACUAAAAGAAAAGUGUUUUCCGACGUGUGAUCGUGUCCAUUGAUUUGUGAUCAUUUUGCACCACUGGUCCGUGUUGCCCUAAAUUAUUUGUUACUUUGUUCACUCAAUUCAUCAGCUGGCCUACCAGUGAACAACGAGGCUCUUCAUAUCUGCAUUCUUGCCCAAUUCUGCGCAGCUGCUUUUAUUCAGAUUAUAUUGGAGAAUAUCAGGUUUAUCUGAUGCU